UACGUAGGGUGCGAGCGUUGUCCGGAAUUACUGGGCGUAAAGAGCUCGUAGGCGGUUCGUCGCGUCGGCUGUGAAAACCCGGAGCUCAACUCCGGGCCUGCAGUCGAUACGGGCGGACUUGAGUGUUGCAGGGGAGACUGGAAUUCCUGGUGUAGCGGUGAAAUGCGCAGAUAUCAGGAGGAACACCGGUGGCGAAGGCGGGUCUCUGGGCAACUACUGACGCUGAGGAGCGAAAGCGUGGGGAGCGAACAGGAUUAG
rnacentral:rRNA from 1 species